rnacentral:rRNA from 1 species
CGUUGGCCCCUAAUCGGGGUUGCGGACAGUGUCUGGUGGGUAGUUUGACUGGGGCGGUCUCCUCCUAAAGAGUAACGGAGGAGCACGAAGGUUGGCUAAUCCUGGUCGGACAUCAGGAGGUUAGUGCAAUGGCAUAAGCCAGCUUGACUGCGAGCGUGACGGCGCGAGCAGGUGCGAAAGCAGGUCAUAGUGAUCCGGUGGUUCUGAAUGGAAGGGCCAUCGCUCAACGGAUAAAAGGUACUCCGGGGAUAACAGGCUGAUACCGCCCAAGAGUUCAUAUCGACGGCGGUGUUUGGCACCUCGAUGUCGGCUCAUCACAUCCUGGGGCUGAAGUAGGUCCCAAGGGUAUGGCUGUUCGCCAUUUAAAGUGGUACGCGAGCUGGGUUUAGAACGUCGUGAGACAGUUCGGUCCCUAUCUGCCGUGGGCGCUGGAGAACUGAGGGGGGCUGCUCCUAGUACGAGAGGACCGGAGUGGACGCAUCACUGGUGUUCGGGUUGUCAUGCCAAUGGCACUGCCCGGUAGCUAAAUGCGGAAGAGAUAAGUGCUGAAAGCAUCUAAGCACGAAACUUGCCCCGAGAUGAGUUCUCCCUGACUCCCUGAGAGUCCUGAAGGAACGUUGAAGACGACGACGUUGAUAGGCCGGGUGUGUAAGCGCAGCGAUGCGUUGAGCUAACCGGUACUAAUGAACCGUGAGG